rnacentral:sRNA from 1 species
AUAACUGAACUGGUAAUAAAUGGAGUUUUUUUGGGUAUUUGGUUUUAUCAUUUCUAUUUCCCCCCACGAUUGUUCAAUUAAAACAUUAUGAAAUGUUCAGUUAGAGGACUCCUAACCACUAAUUGCAUGUUUAAGCCUGAUAAUGCAUGUUUAGUUUUUGUUUUUAAUUUCUUUUUAUCAUUUUAGUAACAAUGAUGAUGUUAUGUUGAUUUCUGUGGAAAGUCCUAAUUUGACAACUCCAAUUACAUCAAAUCCAACAGAUACCAGAAAAAUUACAUCAGGAAAUUCUAGCAAUUCUCCCAAUGCUGAAGUUAUGGCUGUACAGAAGAAACUUGAUUCUGUAAUUGAUUUGACAAAAGAAGGCCUGUCCAACUGCAAUACAGAAAGUCCAGUAUCCCCCCUGGAGUCACAUUCGAAAGCUGCUUCAAACUCAAAGGAAACAACCCCAUUGGCACAAAAUGCAGUCCA